CGAGAAUGGUGUAGCAAUACACACUGUACAGUGGCGAACGGGCUGUAGGACUUACAUGGGUAACCUACCCUCGAGUGGGGAAUAACUUAGCCGAAAGGUUAGCUAAUACCGCGUACGCUUCCAAGACUGCGGUUUUGGAAGGAAAGCGAUACCGUGGGUAUCGCGCUCUUGGAUGGGCUCAUGCCCUAUCAGCUUGUUGGUGAGGUAACGGCUCACCAAGGCUUCGACGGGUAGCUGAUCUGAGAGGAUGAUCAGCCACACUGGCACUGCGACACGGGCCAGACUCCUACGGGAGGCAGCAGUAAGGAAUAUUGCGCAAUGGGCGAAAGCCUGACGCAGCGACGCCGCGUGGGGGAUGAAGGUCUUCGGAUUGUAAACCCCUUUCGGGAGGGAAGAUGGGAUGGGGUAACCCAUUCGGACGGUACCUCCAGAAGCAGCCACGGCUAACUUCGUGCCAGCAGCCGCGGUAAUACGAAGGUGGCAAGCGUUGUUCGGAUUUACUGGGCGUACAGGGAGCGUAGGCGGUUGGAUAAGCCCUCCGUGAAAUCUCCAGGCUUAACCUGGAAAGUGCAGAGGGGACUGUUCAGCUAGAGGAUGGGAGAGGAGCGCGGAAUUCCCGGUGUAGCGGUGAAAUGCGUAGAGAUCGGGAGGAAGGCCGGUGGCGAAGGCGGCGCUCUGGAACAUUUCUGACGCUGAGGCUCGAAAGCGUGGGGAGCAAACAGGAUUAGAUACCCUGGAAGUCCAC
rnacentral:rRNA from 1 species